UGGACACUUCUGGUGGGGGUUUGAC
rnacentral:piRNA from 1 species